CAACCCACCUCAUUUCGCAUUCCGAUUGCUUGUCGACACUUGCAAUCGGCCGCCCGCAGCACCCGUAACCCGGUUUGGCCCGAUCUCUCGCGCGACCACCCGAACGGCCUCCAAUUCACGAUCCGAAAAUUAAAGGUCUUCGGUUAUGUGCCACGAUGCCUCAAAUCCGUUUUCAUGGGUUUACGAUAUCGCCUCGGCCCUCCGGGCGGAAACGAAGCCUAAACGUCCGUUUCUUUAAUAACUUUACAACGGCUCGACGGAUCGCCGAACCGACUUCGCCAACGCGUUCGUUUACCUAGCAAUUUGGUUUACGAAGGGUCAAAUGAGAUCAAACCCUCAUAUUUUAUAAAACCCCAUUUUCUAAACCUAACAUGAAUUAAUCUCCAAAUAAUCCAAAUUAAAUAGAGCAAACAUGUUUAGAAUGCUCAUUAGAGGCUAUUAGAACACUUAAAACCAAGGAUUAAGCCAAAUCCUAAAAGCUUACCUCAAUGUGAACACCGCGACGAAAACACGCCGCUCCAACGGGCGCACGAAAGCUCAAUCCGUCGCCUCCAACGCGUUCGCAAGCAUCUUCUCCACCAACCCUCCAAUUUUUAGAAAGAGAUAUAGAGAGAUGAGAGAGAUAUCUAGAGAGAGGGAGAGGUGUUUCUCUCUCUAUCUCCAUGCGUGCGUGUGUGUGUGCUCGGGUGUGUGCGGCUGAAGGAGAAGAAGAAGCAUCAGCUUCUUUAUAAUACCCCUCAAGCACUAUUCACUCCCGGGCAGCUUAAAAUCUGAUAUCUUUCGCCGGAACUCCCUGAACAUCCGUUUGAGCUCAAACUUGACAGUCAUGGUCGGUUUUACUUAACUUAACAAGCUGACGAUCACUGGUUCAGUUUCGACCCCGUUCGGUCACCGAAAACUGUACCGAACUGUAAUCUUUAACAGAUAGCUGUGGGAUUUUAUUUCCCACCUUCCGGGUGUCAGAAAAAUACAAAACUUUAAAUCUAGCCUCAUAAAAAUAUUUCUGACUUAUCCUCCAAUUUUCAUAAUUUUCUGAGACUAUGCAUUUUCUGCUAAUCUAUCUGUCCCGUUUCCAACAGAAAAUUCUAAAUCUUCUGUUUUCAUUCCGAUUUCAGCACAAGUCACUUCUGACUUAUGUUUAACUCCUCUACAUCCAAUAAAAAUAGUAUCUCACACUAUUUUUUAUUUAUUUAUUAUUUUUAUACCAAAAUCUAGUAUGUUACAUUCUCCACCCCUUAAAAGAAUUUCGUCCGCGAAAUUCAAACCACGCCUCAAUUCAGCUCCGCGAGCAAUUGAGUGUAUCAACUCAUUCUCCCACUCCAGAGCGGCUUCACAUAAUCGUGGUUUCAGAAGCGGCUCAUACUGAAGGACGUGGGUUUAAUCCUAGACACAUUUGCAAGGUGUGAUACAAAAGUGCAUCACGAGUCUUGCAGGUCGUAGUGGCAGCGCAAGUCGGUACUCAACGACUCUACACGCUCCAACACCACUCUCCAUUCGGUACACAAAGAACUCUUCUUUGCACUGGCCUUCCCUUUUGGGAAUACAUUCCGAUUCGAUCACCGACAUUGCUUAGAAGCAAUAUCACCGGUGCAUCGCUCCGUCGUGGGUGCUCUAAUUUCGCACUGACCCUUAACUUUAACGUGAGAUGGCCCACCUAGGCACCUCUCAAGUCUUAGUUCGUUCACGGGCAUAGUCUCCACAAUCACGUGGCUUUCCACUAGCUCAAGGUCUCACCAAGAGCACUUCAUCUUCUGAUACCAUAUGCCACGGUCAACAUCGAAUUACUUUCGCAACGAGCUCACAUGAAUGCUUUGUUCGUGAAUUCGAGUCAAACUCCUCGAUAAGGCUAUCCGCCAAAUCACUCUCCUUGGUCUCCACAGGUGGACCAAAGGUCACCAAUCCUACGUAGGCCUACCGCCUAAACCUGUCUCAAUACGCAGCGUCUCUCGCUCGCAAAUGCAGACCCAAUCAUCAUCGGGCGAAAUUCUCACUUGGGAAUUCGCACACACUCCAACCAGGAGCAACUAAGACCCCAAACCAUGUCAAGUCCUCGGGUUGGGUCACAACCGUUCUCAGUGUACCAUUGGUCACACAAUCUAUCACGUGGCAUUCCACGCUCCCGGGUCUAAGCUCGGACUACCGUCCUGACCAGAACUCUGCCCUACCAGUAGGUACCGGGCCGCUGUCACUCACAGCUGACUGCGCCUGCCCAAAGGGCCCAGGCUCCACAGUCCACAAAUGGUCCAGGCACGGGUCGUCCCCAAGCACUACCCGCCGUCGUCGUCCUACACGACAUACUCUACCGAAUCAUACGUGCCAAUAUCGGCUCCUAUGCACCUAGUGCGAGUCACCAGUCCCACGAGUGAUCCAUGGCACGCUUCACACCUAGCAAUGCUCAAGUGCUACUGCCAAUACACUCUCUCGGCUGAAUCCACAUCCGCACUCUACGGGUAUCUACACUCGAGCGCUCUACGCCUCUACAGCGUUCCACACGAAGUCCAGUGUUAGGCAAUUCUUGCCUAUGCACGCCGACAACACAAGCACGACCCACCUACCUCACAUCGAGGUACUAUUAGGCCCACGUGCUCAAACUUGGCCACUAAUCGACCGUUCUCUCCACAGUGACGCUACUUUCACUGUUCAAUCUACUUUCAUUGUUCGAUCUACCGAAAUGACAUCCGAAAUUUUUUGGACCACUCGGGUGUUCUCAUAUGCAUCAUGGCUCAACUCUCGCAAUCUACUAAUUCAGUUGCUCUGAGAGUCGAUUCGCCACUUCUGUCACUACCGCGAGUCUCUACCGCGAGUCUCACUUCUCGCCAUAGAUUACUUCUAGCACUUCGCUAGUGCCAUCUGGCUCUAUACCUGUACUGGCAGGUACUACGCCCUCACAUAUUACAAAACUCCAUUUCUAGAGCAAUCAAACCUAUCUCUAGAAAUCCACCAUGAGAAAGCUUAGAAGCUUACCUCUCCAAGAAGCUCCAACCAAGGAGAAGAUGAAGAAGAUGAGGAAGACCUCCUUCUCCUUCUUUUUCUUUCCUUUUCUUUCUUCUUUCUCUUCUUGUCUUCUAGAGAGAGAAAGAGAGAUAUGAGAGGGUGUGUGGGUGAGAAAUGAGAGAAAAGAGCUCUCAUACUCCUCACAUAGCCCCACAUGUUGCAUAAGUGCAAAUAAGCCCCUCAACUUUCACUCUUUUACACUGCCUUGACUGGGCAAUUUUUGUGCUGAGGGACCGGUCUCUCCCCGCCGGGGAUCGGUCCCCGAGAGCUUCUCCCGCAAUCUGCAGAGCUCACGCCCGAUGCAUCCGGUCUCCCCCGAUGGGACCGGUCUCUUGGGGACCGGUCUCUCCCUGUAGGGACUGGUUCCCGAGAGCUGUCCACCGGGGACUUAACCGAUUUUUCCUCUCUUUCGCUGUCUGCGCGUGCAGGGACCGGUCUCUCCCACCAGGGACCGGUCCCCGAGAGCAAAAAACCUGCAGUUUGCAGAUUUUGAUUUCCAAAGCUCUCGAAGAUCCCCAGUAAUGCACUUUUGCAUUAUUUGGCGCCUUCGGCCUUUCCGAAGCGUACCAACCUCGCUCUUUGGUCAAUUUGACCAAGGUUCGAUGUUCGCUUACCGAAGUUUCGGUAUAUUACAUACCCACUCGACGACUAGUCGAUCCUGGACGAAGUCCAACUCUCGGCUCUCGAGAAUUCACUUCGUUACAACCAUACUAUGCCGGUACACAUGUUCCAGAAUUUCAGUUUCGCACCGCUUCGACUCCAAUUCGCGCCGAGCAAUGCUAAAACCUUUCUAACUCUUUUGGAACUCAACUUUAACCCUCCCAACAUUGUUGGAACGUUAAUUGAAACUUGUCCAACUAUUUCUCUCGACGCAUUUUGGUCAAUUCGACCAAAAGUGAUCUAACACGACGAGGAUUCCGCUAAUUUCUCAAAGAUCAUGAGGGCCGCCAAAACUCGCGAAGUUCCAAGUCUCCGCUCGCCUCAAAUUGCCUAGGGACACCACUUGGCCCAUCCCGCGCCGAUCUAAAUGAAGAUCGCCUACGCGGUGCUAUCGCUUCCUAAAACGCGACAACUCUAGUAAGCCUCGACCUUCUAGGUCGAACACGAGACACUUAAUACCGACUCCAAUCGGGCGAAAGUCAC
rnacentral:lncRNA from 1 species